rnacentral:lncRNA from 1 species
UUUCUUUUUGUAGUUUUGAUCAAGUUUCUUGGAGGUAGGAGAGAGCCUCAACUCCUGCUGUAUGUCUCCUUGAUGCUUUGAUUAGCUGGAGGGAUAUGGCGUUCUCAAUGCUGGUUGGAAACAAGCCUAUGCCGGAAGGGACAGGUCCUUGGGUUUUUAGUGGCAUGGUACCUCCGAGGACGUUACUGGUGUUUUCCUUGAAGGCGUCAUGGAGCUCUAUCUUUCCACCUGUGCGUUAUCCCUUGGCUCCUAUUUCAGACUCAACCAUGGUGUUGUUUCUUCUUGGAUUGAUGCUCUUGACUGACCCACAUCCUAAGAUUCUUGUACGGAGGCUCUGUUGCUGGCUUUGAUGUGUGUGAGCUCCUCUUAUGGUGUUAAUGAUUUUUUUUUUUUUUUUUAAAGGAUCAAAAGCUGUGGAACUGAUAAAGGAACAAAAGCUACUGCUGGUUGUUUCCAGAAAGCAUUUCGACGCUUUUGGUUUAGGAUGUCUGGUUUGGGCUUAUGGGUUUUGUUUUUGGGCCAAUCUUGAGGAUUUUUAGUCCACUCCUUCUGUUUUAUAUAAAAAAAAAAAUCUUAAUUAAU